CGCCAUCUUCUUUAAAUAUUCACAGAGUCGGGCAAAAAAUUGAAUUUUUAAGCGUUUUUUGACUCCCAGAUAAGUUUCAAAAAAAUUCAAAAAUUUUAACAACUUAAUUCAUCGGCCAAACUGCUAAUUAGCCGAAAAUUUCAAUUUCUUCAUUUCAUUAUUAGAAUUUAUACCUUUUCAUCACAAACUUAUGUGUCUGGGAAUUAAAAAAUAUGUAAAUGUUUAACAGUGCCCAAACUUGCCUGGCCCGGCCCUGGGGAUUUUUUAGGCCCGGCCCCAUUUAUUAUUUGGCAUUUGUGCGUGAAAUUUUGAGUCUAAAAAGGUAUCUUUAAAACAAUUCUGAUCGUAAGCAAGUCAGCAAAAGAAUUAACAAGAUGUCAAUAUAUUGAUUGUGUUAACUUCAACCACUUCUUACUUCAACGUUACAGAAUUAUGAUUGUGCAAUCUUUUUUGGAGGCGAAAUUAUUUAUAACCACAUCGAAAUCAAAGGCAUUCAAUCGUUCUUGCCAAUUGUUGACCUCAGAUAAUUCUUGAUUAUUUUCAUCUGCAAAAUGGCCCCUCAUUUGACGGAACAGAAAUGGGCAGACUGAGAAACAUCCUCAGUGCCAUCUCGAAGUUUAGAUACGCACACGCGAGACCAUUAAUAUGUAUAUAUGUAGAAUUUUCAGGAUAUCCAAGGGUCCUAGUUUAAUUAGGUCUUUUUCAACUUUGUUAAACACCGACAUAGUAGUGCCCAGACUUUGAACUUCGUUUAAAAAUGUAGGGCCGCAAAACCCGCAUGGGUACAAUUUGCGUUAUUAUACCUUACGCGCUAUAAAGUUUGAAAAUUGAACUAUUUAAGAGUUUUUAAAAAAUUAUUUUGAUUUGUUCUUCGAACUAUCAUUUUCACCGAAGGACCUGGUAUGCAUCUGCAUUGUGUACAAAUAGGUGCAAUAGCUCCAGAUUUUUUAAUGUCUUCGGUGAUACAAAAUCUACCCGGUACGUUUCUUUAUUUGGUCAGCAAAAAUAUCGAAAUCGAAGUUGGGCUUAUCAUUUUGACUGCACAAUUUCCUGCUUUAGUAAUUUAGUAAAAUCAAGCAUGUCCUGUUUUCGCCCUGUGACAAUGUGACAUAGGGUCUUACACAAAAUUUUCAGGUUAGCGACGAAUGGUCGACAAACGUUUCGUCGAAACCUGAUUAGUCGACAAAACAGAUAUGUGGUCGGCAGAAAAUUGGUCGAAACAGUGUAUAUGUCGAACAUGUCAUACUGGUCCCCAACUUAAAGUGGUCGACAACAUAUUAGUCGACCAACGUUACAAGUUUUAAGUAAUCCUUGCAUGGGAAGAUGUAUAAUUUUAUUACUACUUAUCCAGAAAUUCUGCCAAAAGAUAGCAUUACAUCGAUAAGUGAAAAUUGCAGUGGCAUAAGUUAAAAAUAUUACCAUAUUUGAUCCAAAUUAACAUUUUUCUAUCACGGUAUGUGGACUUAGAAUUGAUACGCCGGGCUUGUUUCUCCCAGAUUUUUUGCAACAUGCACAAUUCCGCACAUCUAUCAAAUACACAAAGUUUUAGUUCAAAACUCGGGCCGAUAAGAAAAAAACCAUCGUUUUUAAUUUUAAAAUAAUUACUUAAAACAACUCCAUUUCCCAUAACAGAACAAUGCGUUAUGCAGGAAGACUGCAAAUCAAUUGAUGUGGAUAUGGAAUAGUUUUAUUUAUUUUGAAGUUAAAAAUCGAUGAUCGAGUUUUUAAUUGAACUAAAGGUUAUUCAUUUAAUACAUAUAAAUAUGUGUGAAAAUGUACAUGUUGCAAAAAAAUCUGGGAGAAACACGCCUGCCGAACCCAUUGGUACCGAAAUCGUGAAGACAAAUAUUUUGUCGACGAGCUGAGAUUGGGGACCAGCUGGUUGUCGACCAAUAUGAUGUUGACGAGACAGUUUGUCGGCCACCCACUCGUCCGGAGCCCCAGAUUUUCAGCUUAAAUUCUACCUUUUAUUCCAAGGUAGGUACAUAACCAUUGUUAGCUAUUGUUCUUUUAUGAUCGACAAUGUGAUGGCAUAGGUGCCUUUGUAGAUUCGACAUUUAAACCCAAUGUGGCUGUUCAAAAUCUUCGAAGCAAUUAAGGACUUGUGAUAGGUAGCGAACUUGUUCGUACAAUAAUUUUAGUGGACACAACUACCCGAUACCUUCUGGGGAUUACACCUGCCCUAGCUUUUUUAGUGUUUUCGGAGAGGUAAAAAAAUUAUGAUGCAUUUUUUACUUGGUCAGCCCAAGUAAGAAUGCAUAGAUUGGGCUUAUAAUUUUCACGCCAUAAUUUCUCCAUUUUAAUAAUUUGAAAGAAUCAAGGAUAAAUUAUUUUAGGCUCACAAAAGUGAAAAGAGUUUUUUUUAACUAUGUUUUAAUUUUAGGGUAAUUAUUGUUUAUUUCUGUUCGAUAUUGGCACGCUACGAAAUUGCUCAAAAUCUUCGAAACGUUUAAAUAAUUUUCCGUGAAAUUUUGUAGUGGACACCAAGGCCCGGCCCCCUUCGGGGCCCGGCCCUGGGGAAAACCCCCACCUGGCAGCCCCUCUUUCAGGCGCGAGAACGACAGGAUCCGUGAGUCGGGUCGCGUACGCGUCGCAGUACCACCGCGGGCGUGGGUAUUAUGUUCCAGUCUUUGUGAGAGGGGGAGGAGGAGGAGGUGGUAGUGGGGGCGGUUUGGGGAGGAGGAGGCACACCUGCAAUUUGCAAGGGGAGGGGGAAGAGGAGACUGAUUUUUUCUGGAUGUGGGCAGUACUCGUGGCCAUUGGGGUGUUUGGUAUAUUUUGGCUAAUUUAUAAAAAAUGGACCAACAAGCUUUAAUUAACUGACCAAUUAUAAUUAAGAAUGCCUAAUGUCCAACCAGGGUAAUGUAGAUUUAUUAAUUGUGCAUGAACAGAGUCGUACAUACAUAAACUGCUUAAUAUAUCUAAUUUGCUAAAUUUUGCAUAUUAUUCUGAGAUAAAAGACUCAGCCCGACAAUAAAUUCAAGUUGUGCGUUUAGAAAUAAUAUUUAAAACCUGGACAAA